rnacentral:rRNA from 1 species
GAUGAACGCUAGCGGCAGGCCUACUACAUGCAAGUCGAGGGAUAAUGUUGGAUUCGUCUGACAUGAAACCGGCGCACGGGUGCGUAACACGUAUGCAACCUACCUUUAACUGGGGUAUAGCUCAGAGAAAUCUGAAUUAAUCCCCCAUAAGACUACGACAUGGCAUCAUGAUGUAGUUAAAGCUCCGGCGGUUAAGGAUGGGCAUGCGGUACAUUAGCUAGUUGGUGAGGUAAUGGCUCACCAAGGCUACGAUGUAUAGGGGGUCUGAGAGGAUGAUCCCCCAAACUGGUACUGAGACACGGACCAGACUCCUACGGGAGGCAGCAGUAGGGAAUAUUGGUCAAUGGACGCAAGUCUGAACCAGCCAUGCCGCGUGAAGGAUGAAGGCCCUAUGGGUCGUAAACUUCUUUUAUUAGGGAAGAAAAAACGGGAUGCGUCCUGUACUGACGGUACUUAAUGAAUAAGGAUCGGCUAACUUCGUGCCAGCAGCCGCGGUAA